UCUGCUGGGGGAGCCGUGUGGCUGAGAUUUAUCCGUCCUGAGAAGGACCGGAUAUAGACCCUUUUUACUUGAUCCAGGUAAUACUGGCGUAAGGAAGCAUACA
rnacentral:ncRNA from 1 species